CCUUCGGGUUGUAAAGCUCUUUCGGCUGGGAAGAAGGGAGUAAAGGCGAAUAGUCUUUGCUUUUGAUGGUACCAGAAGAAGAAGCACCGGCAAACUUCGUGC
rnacentral:rRNA from 1 species